GAAAACUCACCAGGUCAGGACACGGUAAGGAUUGACGGACUGAAGGCUCUUUCUCGAUUCCGUGGAAAGUGGUGCAUGGCCGUUUUGGUUGGUGGAUCGAUCCGUCUGGUUAAUUCCGUUAACGAACGAGACCUCGGCACUCCGAAUAGCGCGGCGGACGUCGCGGCCUCCGGGCCGUCUUCCGCACGAGCUUCUUAGAGGGACCGUCCCCGCCGGGGAAGGAGGUGCGAGGCAACGACAGGUCUGUGAUGCCCUUAGAUGUUCUGGGCCGCACGCGCAUUACACUGACGCGUCCAACGGGUGACUCCCGACCCGAAGGGGCCGGGGAAGUCCGCAAGGCGCGUCGUGAUGGGGAUUGAACGUUGCAAUUGUUGUUCACGAACGAGGAAUUCCAGUAGGCGCGGGUCAUCAACCCGCGCCGAUUACGUCCCUGCCC
rnacentral:rRNA from 1 species